AAACAGACUCAAAACCAUAGAGAACAGACUUGUAAUUGUCAAGGGGAUGGAGCUGGGGGAGGAAUGGAUUGGGAUUAGCAGAUGUAAACAAUUGUAUACAGGAUGUGUAAACAACAAGGUCCUACUGAAUAGCACAGGGAACCACAUUCAAUAUCCUGUAACAAACCAUAAUGAAAAAGAAUAGGAAAGAAGAUAUACAUAUAUAUGAAUCUCUUUGCUGUAUAGCAGAAAGUAACGCAACAUUGUAAAUCAACUAUACUUUAAAAAAAUUUUUUUAAAAGGCUUCUAGGAAGCAGUGAAAUUUAUUUUAGAUUUUGACAAAGACAAAUUUGGAUUAGAAAAAUGUUGUGAGGGUACAUGUUAGACAAAGGAGAUAUUUUACUUUUGUGCAAGAGGAGGAAAACACACUUUAUUUCAGAUAAUUGUAGAACCAUUAAACUGGCUCAUUCUUUUUCUCAUGCUAUUAAGAUAUAAGAUGAAUAGAAAAAUAUAUUUAUCAAUCUAUUAUAUCUACUCCUCCCUUCUAAACUAUUGAAAAUCCCACCUACAUUUUCUUUACAGAGCCCACAAAUGCUCUAAUAUUGACUGUUUUUGUUUCUUCCCCUAAACGUUACUUGCUAAAUCUUUUUUCAUCUAAUUUAUUUAUAUAAUUUUUGGCUUACUUUUGUUAAAUGAUACAAAAUAAUUGUAGACCAGGCAAAGUUUGUAUACUCACUUAAAUGUCUCCCUAUCUAACAUCUGUUUUUUUUUUUUUUUCUUCUCCUAAAUGGAAGAAACUUCCUUCUGAAAUAAUUUACUGCAGUCCCAAAUGGCUGUUUAUGGUCAUUUUAGAGAUAAAAUUCCAUAAAUUCAAGUUAGCACUGACAUUUUAAGUGCUGUCAUGUCAAAGCUGGGGAAUGGAAACCAUCUCACUGGGUUCUCUAAAGUGGAAGCAUCUUUUGUCUGCUUAUUACUGUGAGAAAUGGCCGGAUUAAAGCCUCCAAAUGUUUCAGUGAUGCAGAGCAAAGGUGACUUCCUGUUUUGUUUUAGGGUUUGUUUCCUUCUCUUCUCAAUGAAGGCUGUGUUUUCUGACAUUCUGCAAUCUUUUUGCUCAGUGAUUUCCCAUUGAAAGGGCAGGGUAGGAGGGCCUCUGCAGGUCAUUCUAUUUACAAUAUGCCCUGAAAAGGGAGGAAGCGGGGAGAGGGAGGGAAAGAGGAAGCUCAUUAGUGGAAGGAGCAGACCAGGAGGGGAUCUGUUUUCCAUUUUCUUUUCUGGAUUGAGCUCAUUUGGAUGGAAAGGAUAUUAUUGUUAUCCUUAUCAUCAUUAUCAUUACCAGUGUGGUCUAAUUUUCCUACACGUUUGUCUCAAGUGUGAGGUGAAUUUAUUGGUAGAAGAGUUAAUAAGUGCCAUUUUAUUUUAGUAAAAUCAGGGGUGGGUGCGUGAGGGAAGCCCAAGUACUUUAAAGCAG
rnacentral:lncRNA from 1 species